CGCGACGCCGCGUGCGGCGUGUUCUCUGCGUCGGCACCGUGACGCGGACUGACGGGAGAAAAAACGCUCAGGGGAAAAAUCGGAAUUACCUUUCAGCGGCGCUGUCUCGGCAUCCUCGGCUCACUCGUCUCUCCACGGUAACUACCUCCUAGGUCUGACUUAGGGCCCAGAAUGUACCAAACCGUCAUCAAGUAAAAGGUGGCUACUUUGAAGAAUGAAAAAAAUAAACCCCAUCUUAUGAAGCUCUAUCCUGUGUUUGCACAACAGGACCUGAUUCAGCAAGUGAUUUGCACUCAAAGGAGACAUGGAACGUGUCCACCAUCUGAUCCAUCUUAGGACUCACCGAAACAGUGGGCCAUCACGGUCAAUGAAGUAGUUUCCAUGUGCAUCCUUGACAGUUGGGAGGUCUCCUCUGAACAUGGCUCCCAGCAUGGAGUCU